rnacentral:rRNA from 1 species
CGAAAGCCUGACGGAGCAAGACCGCGUGGGGGAGGAAUGCCUUAGGGUUGUAAACCCCUUUUAUCUGGGAAGAACAAAAUGACGGUACCAGAUGAAUAAGCCUCGGCUAACUCCGUGCCAGCAGCCGCGGUAAUACGGAGGAGGCAAGCGUUAUCCGGAAUGAUUGGGCGUAAAGCGUCCGCAGGUGGCAAUGUAAGUCUGCUGUCAAAACCCAGGGCUCAACUCUGGUCAGGCAGUGGAAACUACAUAGCUAGAGUUCGGUAGGGGCAAAGGGAAUUCCCGGUGUAGCGGUGAAAUGCGUAGAGAUCGGGAAGAACAUCGGUGGCGAAAGCGCUUUGCUAGACCGAAACUGACACUCAGGGACGAAAGCUAGGGGAGCG